rnacentral:lncRNA from 1 species
UUUGUGCUUGAAGGAGAGAUUCAUUGUGUUGUGUGGAAAUGAGAAAGGAUAAGAAUAUUCUGGAAAAUUCUUAAGUAGUCAAGCCAAACUUCUCCAUUGCCUGGAAGCCAAUUAGCUUGACGACCGUAGCAAAGCCAUAUGUGGGUGAAUCUGGAAAAUCAUCCAAGUACCAUCAUUAACAUGUACAAUUGCUACCCACAGCAAGUGAAGUUUUAAUGAAUUGUAUUCUGCAGUGACCACCAGUGAUUUCAUUCAUUCUUCCGGUCCACCCAUUCAUUCUUUCGGUCCAUCCAUUCAUCUAUUAACCGACAACAGAUGCAGGGUGGAAAUAUUUUUGCAAAAUGUUGCGACUUACAAGGCAAUCUGUAAAGGGAUCUGCCCACUUUGUAUCUAAUAUUACACUUUUAUUAUUAUGAAAAUAGUAACAAUCAUUAAGAAGUAUAGACCACUUAUCUCAACUUAACCCUGUGCAUUGUCAAUAAUGAAGCAUCAAAUCAAGAAUUUGUGUUGAACGAUUUCAAAACCUUGUGCUUGUAUGUCACCGUAAACAUUGCAUGUGCUGCUAAUGUCUUAGAAAAUAUUAAUUUAAAUUCAGAUUUCAAAAAACUAAACAAAAACGAAAACGAAAAAAACUAAUAG